GAUGAACGCUGGCGGCGUGCUUAACACAAUGCGAAGUCGAACGAAGAUGCCAUAGUAGAAGCAAUUAGCUUGCUAAGAGUGGACACAGUGGGAUCUUAGUGGCGGACGGGUGAGUAACGCGUGGGUAACCUGCCGUAUACAGGGGAUAACACCUGGAAACAGGUGCUAAUACCGCAUAAGCGCACGAUGUCGCAUGACAACGUGUGAAAAGCCGAGACGGUAUACGAUGGACCCGCGUCUGAUUAGCUGGUUGGUGAGGUAGAGGCUCACCAAGGCGACGAUCAGUAGCCGGCCUGAGAGGGUGAACGGCCACAUUGGGACUGAGACACGGGCCCAAAACUCCGUAACGGGAGGCAGCAGUGGGGAAUAUUGCACAAUGGGGAAACCCUGA
rnacentral:rRNA from 1 species